AAUGACCUUGCACAGAAAUGGAAGGAAGCUUGUCCCUUCCUGUCAGAAAGGAGUCCCUUUGGGCUCCCAGUGCUUUCUCUGUGAGUGAGAGCAGCCCCCACAGAAAAGGGGGAGGUGCUGGAAGUGGUUGGACAGGGUGGUCAGAUGCAGAGGAGUGCUGUCCUCCCUGAGUUCCUGUUACCAUGCUGACCUAGCCAUUGGAUCCAUCCACAUCUGGCUUCAGGAGAGCCCUGCUAUGGGGGAGCAGCUCCAUGUAACACCAUCAGCUGCAGAUCAUAAUCCCCUCUUUGCUAAGUGAACCCCACAUUUGAGAUCCUGCUUCAUGUUUUUUCCAGGUGACCUCAGGGAACGCAAAAUCAGCACAGAGCUUAUUUUUCAUAUCCAUGCUGGCUGUGAACAUGGGGACAACUUCUGCCAUGCAUCCAUAAUUUUGUGCUGUGGGAGCUGUGUCUCCCCACAGCACACACAUUUGUGGCUGUGGUUGUGCUGCUGAGGGGUGUGAGAGGGAAAGCUGUGAGGGUGACCUUUGGCAUUAAGAGUGCAAACAAAAAAGUGAGAAAUAACAAGUCUGCCUUCAAGGGCAAGGACACUGUGUUCUUCCUCACCAGAGACCUCUCUGCAGAUGCACCGGCUGACUCCAAAGAGAAUAAAGGAGAAGUAAAUAGGGGAAACAGAAAAAAGAGGGUUGCACUUAACAACAAACUAUUUUUUGUACUUUACAACCUGUUUCUACUCUCUGAACCCUAAGUGCUAUGGGAAAGACCUAUAUCAGCUGCUCCAUGCCUCCCUCAUGGGUGUGGAUAGUGUAUGUGUGCCCCACAGCAGGGCUGUCACCAUUCCCACCUUUUCCACGUGUGCAGGUGAGGAGUGGAGGAGCGUGGAUGCCCAGAAGGAGAAAACAGAAGGGGGACAGUCUGACCAAGAGUGGGGGUUGUGUCCCACGGGCACAGGUGUAGGAGCUGACUUCACGUGACAGCAUCUUGGGUUGCAUCCUGUUUUGUGGUCAUGAUGCCAUCCGCCCUGCCUAUUUCAUCAUCUUGUGGUGGGCUAUGGUGUGCAACUGCAGAAAAGUGCACACAGGCUGUGAAUCUGGAAGGAGCUCUCAAUCUGCAAAGACACAGGAAGUCAGGAUGUUGGUUCUGGGGCCCAAACUAACAAGGCAUGAGGUGCUCUGCUGCUGGAGGUCCUUAUACAGAUCAUUUGCCUUCAGGAGGUGGGACUUUGAGAAACACUGAAUCUGAAAGCUGAAUUCACUAAAGCUGAAUAAGAAACUGUGAAAGUUGGAAACACUGAGGGAGACCAACUGGGACGUUCCUUAAGUUUCAUCCCUUAGAUCUAUAACUGAUUAAUCUACAAGCUUCAGUUUAACAGUUUGACUGUAAUG